GACAGUGAGAUGGUGCAGUAGGUCAGUGGGUCUGGCUGUUAACCAGAAGGUUGGUGGUUUGAGUCCACCCAGAGUCU